UGAAGGGUCAUAGCUCAGUGGUGGAGCAACUGCUUUGCAUGCAGGAGGUCCAUGGUCCAAUCCCCAUCAUUUUCAG